rnacentral:rRNA from 1 species
GACGAACGCUGGCGGCGUGCCUAAUACAUGCAAGUAGAAUGCUGAAGGAGGAGCUUGCUUCUCUGGAUGAGUUGCGAACGGGUGAGUAACGCGUAGGUAACCUGCCUGGUAGCGGGGGAUAACUAUUGGAAACGAUAGCUAAUACCGCAUAAUAGCAGUUGUUGCAUGACAACUGUUUGAAAGGUGCAAUUGCACCACUACCAGAUGGACCUGCGUUGUAUUAGCUAGUUGGUGGGGUAACGGCUCACCAAGGCGACGAUACAUAGCCGACCUGAGAGGGUGAUCGGCCACACUGGGACUGAGACACGGCCCAGACUCCUACGGGAGGCAGCAGUAGGGAAUCUUCGGCAAUGGACGGAAGUCUGACCGAGCAACGCCGCGUGAGUGAAGAAGGGUUUCGGAUCGUAAAGCUCUGUUGUAAGAGAAGAACGAGUGUGAGAGUGGAAAGUUCACACUGUGACGGUAUCUUACCAGAAAGGGACGGCUAACUACGUG